rnacentral:rRNA from 1 species
GAUGAACGCUGGCGGCGUGCCUAAUACAUGCAAGUCGAGCGAACGGACGAGAAGCUUGCUUCUCUGAUGUUAGCGGCGGACGGGUGAGUAACACGUGGAUAACCUACCUAUAAGACUGGGAUAACUUCGGGAAACCGGAGCUAAUACCGGAUAAUAUUUUGAACCGCAUGGUUCAAAAGUGAAAGACGGUCUUGCUGUCACUUAUAGAUGGAUCCGCGCUGCAUUAGCUAGUUGGUAAGGUAACGGCUUACCAAGGCAACGAUGCAUAGCCGACAUGAGAGGGUGAUCGCCAACAUUGGAACGGAGACACGGUCAAGACGCCUAAGGGAGGCAGCAGUAGGGAAUCUUCCGCAAUGGGAGAAAGCCUGACGGAGCAACGCCGCGUGAGUGAUGAAGGUCUUCGGAUCGUAAAACUCUGUUAUUAGGGAAGAACAGAUGUGUAAGUAACUGUGCACAUCUUGACGGUACCUAAUCAGAAAGCCACGGCUAACUACGUG